UACGUAGGGUGCGAGCGUUAUCCGGAAUCACUGGGCGUAAAGGGCGUCUAGGCGGUCCAGUAAGUCCUGCGUGAAAGCUCCCGGCUCAACUGGGAGAGCGCGUGGGAGACUGUUGGGCUAGAGACUCGGAGAGGGGUGUGGAAUUCCCGGUGGAGUGGUGAAAUGCGUUGAGAUCGGGAGGAACACCAGUGGCGAAGGCGGCACCCUGGCCGAGUUCUGACGCUGAAGCGCGACAGCGUGGGGAGCAAACGGG
rnacentral:rRNA from 1 species